AUACGGAGGAUCCGAGCGUUAUCCGGAUUUAUUGGGUUUAAAGGGUGCGCAGGCGGCCAUUUAAGUCAGCGGUUAAAUCGUGGGGCUCAACCCCAUUCUGCCGUUGAUACUGGGUGGCUUGAUUGCGGUCGAGGUUGGCGGAAUUCGUUGUGUAGCGGUGAAAUGCAUAGAUAUGACGAAGAAAACCGAUUGCGUAGGCAGCUGACCAGACCGUAAAUGACGCUCAUGCACGAAAGUGCGGGGAUCGAACAGGAUUAGAUACCCUGGUAGUCCGCACAGUAAACGAUGAAUACUUGUUUUCGGCGAUAUAAUGUCGGAGGCAAAGCGAAAGCGAUAAGUAUUCCACCUGGGGAGUACGCCGGCAACGGUGAAACUCAAAGGAAUUGACGGGG
rnacentral:rRNA from 1 species